AUUGAACGCUGGCGGCAUGCUUUACACAUGCAAGUCGAGCGGCAGCGCGGGGGCAACCCUGGCGGCGAGCGGCGAACGGGUGAGUAAUGCAUCGGAACGUAUCCUCGAGUGGGGGAUAACCCAGCGAAAGUUGGGCUAAUACCGCAUGAGCUCUGAGGAGGAAAGCGGGGGACCUGCGAGGGCCUCGCGCUGGAGGAGCGGCCGAUGUCCGAUUAGCUAGUUGGUGGGGUAAAGGCUUACCAAGGCGACGAUCGGUAGCUGGUCUGAGAGGAUGAUCAGCCACAAUGGGACUGAGACACGGCCCAGACUCCUACGGGAGGCAGCAGUGGGGAAUUUUGGACGAUGGGGGCAACCCUGAUCCAGCCAUGCCGCGUGAGUGAAGAAGGCCUUCGGGUUGUAAAGCUCUUUCGGACAGAACGAAAUGGGCGGGACUAAUACUCCUGUCUGAUGACGGUACCGUAAGAAGAAGCACCGGCUAACUACGUG
rnacentral:rRNA from 1 species